UAUAAAAUAUCACGACGCCCAAAAAGUCGUGGCUUGGGUUUUGCCAGCUGGCUAUGAUCCCCCGGCUUCAGUUGGGGGUGUCAGAUCUAUGGCGUUUCCCUAAUGUAUCCGGAUGCACGCAUCUGGCUAUGCCAGGUGGAGAUGUGUCGACGGAGUCGUGGCUCAGUAUUGGAUAUGCGCGCUCCGUUUACCAUUUCGUGUAGCAUCGUCCGAUGAUAUGUACCACAA
rnacentral:misc_RNA from 1 species